UGGGGAAUCUUGCACAAUGGGGGCAACCCUGAUGCAGCGACGCCGCGUGAGCGAUGAAGGUUUUCGAAUCGUAAAGCUCUGUCCUAUGGGAAGAUAAUGACGGUACCAUAGGAGGAAGCCCCGGCUAACUACGUGCCAGCAGCCGCGGUAAUACGUAGGGGGCGAGCGUUGUCCGGAAUUACUGGGCGUAAAGGGUUCGCAGGCGGCAUGGCAAGUCCGAUGUAAAAGGUGAAGGCUCAACCUUCGUAAGCAUCGGAAACUGUCAAGCUUGAGUGAAGGAGAGGCAAGUGGAAUUCCUAGUGUAGCGGUGGAAUGCGUAGAUAUUAGGAGGAAUACCGGUGGCGAAGGCGACUUGCUGGACUUCAACUGACGCUGAGGAACGAAAGCGUGGGUAGCAAACAGG
rnacentral:rRNA from 1 species